CAGAAAAGUAAUUUUAACCUCCCAUACUCAAUGUAAAUGUCUUCUUACUCAACACUGUCAAACUCAUGAAAAAAUAGGGGGAAAUAUAGGAAAACCAAAAAGUAACCAAGGACUAAAGACCAUACCGGACAAACUGGAAAAGGGCUAGGCAAAGGUGACCAAGACAGCGCCCACCUCGAAGAUUGCCAGCCGACGAAGCUCUAAACAAUUUCACAACACAUAGCAGGAAACUGACUGCCACAUAUAGAACAUCUCACAUAAACCCAACUAAAUCUCCAUCCAGAGGAGGGGUACUAGGAAUCCAAAUGGAGACUGAAAAAAAACUAAGAAAAGAAACAAAAGAAAACCGACUAAGAAAACUAACGAAACAGCUUGCUAAAGAAAUGGGGUAGAGGAGAGUCGACGGCCAGAUGAACAAACCUCCCCUAAGG
rnacentral:misc_RNA from 1 species